CGUGUAGAGGAUCGAUAAACUAAGAAAAAAAAUUCCUGUAAAGAUAUACUCGUUUUUGCUUCGUUUUGAAGAAAAUCGCAAAAAAGA